rnacentral:rRNA from 1 species
CCUACGGGAGGCUGCAGUGGGGGUUAUUGCACAAUGGGGGGAACCCUGAUGCAGCGACGCCGCGUGGGUGAAGAAGCGCCUCGGCGCGUAAAGCCCUGUCAGCAGGGAAGAAAAUGACGGUAUCUGAAGAAGAAGCCCCGGCGAACUACGUGCCAGCAGCCGCGGGAAUACGUAGGGGGCAAGCGUUAUACGGAUUUACUGGGGGUAAAGGGGGCGCAGACGGCGAUGCAAGCCAGGAGUGAAAGCCCGGGGCCCAACCCCGGGACUGCUGUUGGAACUGCGUGGCUGGAGUGCAGGAGGGGCAGGCGGAAUUCCUGGUGUAGCGGUGAAAUGCGUAGAUAUCAGGAGGAACACCGGUGGCGAAGGCGGCCUGCUGGACUGCAACUGACGUUGAGGCCCGAAAGCGUGGGGAGCAAACAGGAUUAGAUACCCGGGUAGUC